GAUGAACGCUGGCGGCGUGCCUAAUACAUGCAAGUCGAGCGAACGGACGAGAAGCUUGCUUCUCUGAUGUUAGCGGCGGACGGGUGAGUAACACGUGGAUAACCUACCUAUAAGACUGGGAUAAUUUCGGGAAACCGGAGCUAAUACCGGAUAAUAUUUUGAACCGCAUGGUUCAAAAGUUAAAGACGGUCUUGCUGUCACUUAUAGCUGGAUCCGCGCUGCAUUAGCUAGUUGGUAAGGUAACGGCUUACCAAGGCAACGAUGCAUAGCCGACCUGAGAGGGUGAUCGGCCACACUGGAACUGAGACACGGUCCAGACUCCUACGGGAGGCAGCAGUAGGGAAUCUUCCGCAAUGGGCGAAAGCCUGACGGAGCAACGCCGCGUGAGUGAUGAAGGUCUUCGGAUCGUAAAACUCUGUUAUUAGGGAAGAACAUAUGUGUAAGUAACUGUGCACAUCUUGACGGUACCUAAUCAGAAAGCCACGGCUAACUACGUG
rnacentral:rRNA from 1 species